CGCCGAGCUGCGCUCGCCUCGGCACUCGCCCGCGCCGCCCCUGCACUGCGUGUCCCAGGUGGGAUUUUGCACGGCCAGCGAGGGCCGGACGCUCUGCCAGGCACCCSGGUGAGAGCCGCGCGCGGAGCCUGCGCUGCGGCUGCUCUGCUGGGGACAUGAAGCAAGAGACGGCCCUGCCGACGCCUCCCUUGGCACAGGUCGGAUGGACUCCUCGCCUGCGCAGAGCUGCCUGUGUGCCCAGCCUGACUGACACCCCUCUGGGAUCUGGAGCUGGGAUCUGGGAUCCGGAGCUCGCGAGGACGCCAGCGACGCCGGGGAGAGCGGCGCGGAAGGCGUCUGGUUAGAGCCGCCCGCGCGGUCGCCCGCAGAGCUGCACUCGCCCCCGCAGCAGCAGCAGCGCUGCCCCACACACUCGCUGUCCCAGUUUUGUAGGGGUCCUUUUAUUAGUGCUACUGUUGACUUGUG